GCGGUUAUACCAAGUGAUUAAGUUAUAUUUAUAGGUAAAAAGACAGUUAGGUUUAUAAGAUAAUUUUAGUUUAUUAAACAUCUAUAAAAAAGUAAAAUUUGUAUAUAGAUAGCUAAUCUAAAAAUAACUAUAAUACUGAAGCUGUGAUAAUCUUGAGGGAAACUGGGAUUAGAUACCCCAUUAUUCUUGAUUGUAAAUAUAAUUAAAUUUACCAGAGUACUAUGAAUAGUUAAAAAUUUAAAACUCAAAGGGCUUGGCGGUGUUUUAGACCUAUCAGGGGAACCUGUCUCGUAAUCGACAAUCCACGUAAUAUCUAACCUUAUUUUGUAAUCAGUUUGUAUACCGUCGUCGUCAGGUAACUUUUAAAAACAUAGAAGUUAGCAACUAAAAUUAUUUUAAAUUAAAACGUCAGAUCAAGGUGCAGCCUAUAGUAAGGAGAGGAUGGGUUACAAUUAUAAAAAUUAUAAUUACGGAAAUUUAAAUGGAACUUAUUUUGAAGGAGGACUUGAAAGUAAACUAAAAUACAUAAAUAGCUUGAAUAAGGCUCUG
rnacentral:rRNA from 1 species